rnacentral:tRNA from 1 species
GCGCAAGUGGUCUAGUGGUGAAAUCCAACGAUUUUUUUAAUCGUUUGGCCCACGGUUCGAUUCCGGGCUUGCGCA